rnacentral:lncRNA from 1 species
AAAUAAAUUAAAAUUUGAGGAAAAACUUUAAAUAAUAAGUAGUUAAAAUAACUGAUCAAAAUACCAGUUUGGGCCCAAAAAUAAAAGAAAUACUUAAAGUAAUUGAACCAGAGUUCUGAAAUAAACCUAUGAAAAUAUAACUAUUGAAAUAUAAAUGCGGAAGAAAACUGAAUUGUUCCCUAUGGCGAUCUAUGAUCACUUCUUAUCAUUCGCUAUUAUGCCCUUGCCUCUACCCUUACCUGAAAUUAAACAUUUAAAAGAGUGAGUAUAAAUUUAUACUUAGUAAGAGACCCAUAGUGGUCUCACUAUGUGUCUGUUAACCUUUCGUUAGAGUCCUGUAACAUGUACCGCAUACUAUUGCGCUCCCGAACGCAUACUAUCAAGUGGUUCCAUAGGGACACAUCUAGGCUCUCGGUGAACCCGAAGGAAUCAUCCUAUAGGAGAGUCAGGCUGUAAGUGAUCCCGUCGAAUCACAUCUCAAACAAGUCACACAUGCAUACAUAGGUGGUGACCCUGAUGGACCCCCAUACGGUACAACUCUAAUAGGCAAAACUAACAGAACACUAUAGCCUAUACAUGUUUAUCAUAAGAUCAACAUCUUAGCUCAAUUACACAUAACUCAAAAGUAACAUAUUUGAUUAUAGCAUGCCUCAACAAAUAAUACUAUAUCUAAAUCAUAAUAUGGUUUUCAAAGUAACUAUUUAUACGACCAUCUCAAACAACAUAAUUCAACUCAUUCCAGUGCUAACUCAUUUUAGACCCAAAACAAUAAUUAUUUGGGUGUACCAAACCCAACGAGAAUUAAGCAAAAACUCACCAAGGGCUUAAAUAUGUUGCAGACGGCUAAAACUGAAGGUGGCUCGACUAACAACGCUUCAGCUCGAGCCUUGAGACUCACGCUGGCAUACGACUCACACAG